rnacentral:rRNA from 1 species
GAUGAACGCUGGCGGCGUGCCUAAUACAUGCAAGUCGAGCGAACAGACGAGGAGCUUGCUCCUCUGACGUUAGCGGCGGACGGGUGAGUAACACGUGGAUAACCUACCUAUAAGACUGGGAUAACUUCGGGAAACCGGAGCUAAUACCGGAUAAUAUAUUGAACCGCAUGGUUCAAUAGUGAAAGACGGUUUUGCUGUCACUUAUAGAUGGAUCCGCGCCGCAUUAGCUAGUUGGUAAGGUAACGGCUUACCAAGGCAACGAUGCGUAGCCGACCUGAGAGGGUGAUCGGCCACACUGGAACUGAGACACGGUCCAGACUCCUACGGGAGGCAGCAGUAGGGAAUCUUCCGCAAUGGGCGAAAGCCUGACGGAGCAACGCCGCGUGAGUGAUGAAGGUCUUCGGAUCGUAAAACUCUGUUAUCAGGGAAGAACAAAUGUGUAAGUAACUAUGCACGUCUUGACGGUACCUAAUCAGAAAGCCACGGCUAACUACGU